rnacentral:misc_RNA from 1 species
GUAGAAAUCACAGUGUUUGCACUUUUGCACCAAGCGUCUGCUGUACAAUAGGUUUAGAGUUUUGUGUCGCAAUGUAACAAGUGACGUAGGAAAGUAUAUAUAAUAGCUGAAGUCACUAGCAUCACCAGUUACUCUGACGGACUAGCGGACUGACACAUAAAGUUAAAGAAUGGCACAACCACAAAUGUACCCAAAUGUUCCACGCCCCCCACCCGGAGGAGAUCAGUGUGUGUCGAAAGUGGAACUCCGGAUUGAGUGUCGUAAUCUACUGGACCUGGAUGUUAUGUCCAAGUCAGAUCCAUGUGCAGUGCUCUACAUGAGUCGACGAGGUGGCCACUGGGAUGAGAUUGGAAGAACGGAAAACAUUAAAAACUGCUUGGAUCCCAAGUUCUCUCGAUGCUUUAAAGUGAACUACUAUUUUGAAGAAGUACAGAAAUGCAGGGUAUGUGUGUACGAUCUGGACAACACAACGCCAGAAUUGUCCGACGAUGACUUCCUUGGCCAGCUGGAUUGUACUCUGGGACAGUUGGUGUCCAGCAACCCCUUCACAAAGCCCUUGAUGAUGCCUGAUGGACGACGCAAGGCCGGAAAUGGAGUCAUAAUAGUUCGAGCUGAGGAGGUGAAGGAGGGUGGCGAGAUAGCUUACCUGACAUUCAGGGGGAAAAACCUGGACAAGAAGGACUUUUUUGGCAAGUCUGAUCCAUAUUUGGAGAUUCUUCGCUCUACCCUGGACCGAAGCUGGCAAGUGGUCCACAGAACAGAGGUCAUCAAGAACACUCUCAACCCGAGCUGGCGGCCGUUCCAGGUUCCUCUGUCGACGUUGUGUGCUGGCAACAGGGCCCAGGAGAUUCGGUUUGAUGUCUACGACUGGGACAGUGACGGUAGCCACGACUACAUCGGCGGCUUCACCACCACCGUCGAUGAUAUGAUGAAAGCCAGUAACCAGGAGUAUUCCUGGCCGCUCAUCAACCCAAAGAAAAAAUCCAAAAAGAAAAACUAUACCAAUUCAGGCAUAUGUCUGCUUACUUCUGUGAAGAUUAUGAAGGAACACACAUUCUUAGAAUUCAUAUUCGGGGGCAUGCAGAUCAAUUUUACAGUGGGUAUAGAUUUCACAGCCUCCAAUGGUAACCCCAGUAACCCCACAUCACUGCACUACAUCAACCCCUACCAGCCGAACGAGUAUAUGCAGGCAACACGAGCUGUCGGCGAUGUGUGUCAGGAUUAUGACUCUGACAAGAUGUUCCCUGCCCUUGGGUUUGGAGCCAAGAUUCCACCGACAAUGGAUGUUUCUCACGAGUUCGCCAUCAACUUCAACAUGCAGAAUCCCUUCUGUCCAGGAAUUGAUGGUGUGCUGCAAGCUUACUCCAACUGUAUCCGACAAGUCCAGCUGUACGGCCCUACCAAUGUGUCGCCCAUCAUUCGACAUGUCGCUAGGUUCGCGCUUGCUGCUCAGCAAGAAGAGCGAGCUAAAGGGGCACAUGCGUAUUACAUCCUGCUGCUGCUGACCGAUGGCGUCCUGAGUGACAUGAGCGCCACCAAGCAGGCCAUCGUGGAGGCCUCCAAGCUGCCCAUGUCGUUGAUCAUCGUGGGUGUAGGUGGCGCUGAUUUCUCUAUGAUGGAGGAGCUGGAUGGGGAUGAUGGGCUACUGAGAGCUCCGAGCGGGGAGCCUGUCAAACGGGACAUCGUGCAGUUUGUGCCCUUCAGGGAAUUCAAGCAGAGUACCCCAGAAGAACUUGCUCGUCAUGUGUUAGCUGAAGUGCCCAAACAAGUCGUUGAGUACUACCGGCUUCAAGGCAUCCACCCUAUCAAACGCCAGCAGACGGACCCCUUUCCUUCCUAAAUGACUGCUUGAUUCCUUGUACCAUGGACUUGUUGUCUGUUGUCACUUCUGUGUCAUAACAGCGUCGAUGGAUAUGUGAACUUAGUCAAACAGGUGUUGGAGAUGACACUACCUCAGCUUCACAGAACAGGAUGCCCAGUUUUGGCGUUCCAUGCACACAUUGUGUUGCAUUCACAGACCAGUUGUGUUCACUGAUUAAAACUGGGAUAUCAACUCUAAUAAAGAACAGUGAAGGUGCAUUGGGAUUUGUUGCAUUCACAGACCAGUUGUGUAAGCGAUGAGGCAGGACAUGUUCCCUGAUUAAAACUGGGAUAUUAACUCUAAUAUAUAACAAAAAAGGUGCAUUGGGAUUUGUUGCAUUCACAGACCAGUUGUGUAAGCGAUAAGGCAGGACAUGUUCCCUGAUUAAAACUGGGAUAUUAACUCUAAUAUAUAACAAAGAAGGUGCAUUGGGAUUUGUUGCAUUCACAGACCAGUUGUGUAAGCGAUAAGGCAGGUCAUGUUCCCUGAUUAAAACUGGGAUAUUAAUUCUAAUAUAUAACAAAGAAGGUGCAUUGGGAUUUGUUGCAUUCACAGACCAGUUGUGUAAGCGAUAAGGCAGGACAUGUUCAGUGAUUAACACUGGGAUAUUAACUUUUAUAUAUAACAGUGAAGGUUUAACCCAGUGAAUAAUGCAUAAAAUGGGCCCCAGGACUGACUUAUUGUUAAUUAGACAUGUAUAUUGCUGUCGUGAGUUCAUGAGACAUGUUGCACAUAGAGGCAGCGCACAAACAUACAAAUUAGAAGUCACCUCAACAUGCUCAAACAGCAAUUCAUGAAGAAUUAUUUUUAAAAAAUGUCUACACAUCGGUGGAACAUACCCCAUAGACCCAAGAAACACCAAAAAAAUCUUUCAACACCCAAUGUGAAUGAUACAUUGUGAGUAAAUACUCAAUGGCUACAAAAAAAUAUCUGGAGCCCUGAUAAAAAUUUAGGUAAGCCUAAAGGCAGAAAGCAUUCACCAACUGACACUUUGAUAUAAACUCAACAGUACCGUACAUGUUAAUUUAUAAAGGGGAAGGUGUGACUCAUGCUGCUACAUCUGUAAAGUUCAUCUUUCCUUAAAGUUGGAGUAACAAAAAUGAAUACUUAUCAUCACGUCAUAUUGUUAAAAAAUGUUGUACAGUUGUUUCUCAAACUGUCUGAACAAAAAACAUUUCAUAUCUUCAGAAUUUAUGAUGUUUGAUUAGAAUGUUAUUGUGUUUCAUUACGUAAGACCUUAAAUGGGUAAAUAAGGUUAUCGUUACAUUAUCAUGAUUAUAUACUCCUGUGGGUGGAGAAACAUGAUAUAUGAUUUAAGCCAGUAGCUGUGCUACCUAGUUUGUCACAGUGUUUAUAAUGGGUAAAUAAGGUUAUCGUUACAUUAUCAUGAUUAUAUACCCCCAAGGGUGGAGAAACGUGAUAUAUGAUUGAAGCCAGUAGCUGUGCUACCUAGUUUGUCACAGUGUUUAUAAUGGGUAAAUAAGGUUAUCAUUACAUUAUCAUGAUUAUAUACUCCCGUGGAUGGAGAAGGUGAAGUGAGGUGAAAGAUUAUUGCACUUAUUUUGCGACGUGCAUGCACAUGUGGGUGCGGCUGCUUUUACUAGUCCAGACUGAUGC